rnacentral:rRNA from 1 species
UACAGAGGGUGCAAGCGUUGCUCGGAUUUACUGGGCGUAAAGCGUACGCAGACGGCGAGGCAGGUCGGGUGUGAAAUCCCCGGGCUCAACCCGGGAAAUGCACUCGAAACCAUCUUGCUCGAGUAUGGGAGAGGGAAGCGGAAUUCCUGGUGUAGAGGUGAAAUUCGUAGAUAUCAGGAGGAACACCGGCGGCGAAGGCGGCUUCCUGGCCCAUUACUGACGUUCAGGUACGAAAGCGUGGGUAGCAAACAGG